rnacentral:rRNA from 1 species
GAUGAACGCUAGCGGGAGGCUUAACACAUGCAAGUCGAGGGGCAGCAUGAUGUAGCAAUACAUUGAUGGCGACCGGCAGACGGGUGAGUAACACGUAUGUAACCUACCCUGUACAGGGGGAUAACCCGGAGAAAUUCGGACUAAUAUUCCAUAAUGUUAUAAGAAGGCAUCUGAUUAUAAUUAAAGUUCCGGCGGUACAGGCUGGGCAUGCGCAACAUUAGCUAGUUGGUAGGGUAACGGCCUACCAAGGCAUUGAUGUUUAGGGGUCCUGAGAGGGUGAUCCCCCACACUGGUACUGAGACACGGACCAGACUCCUACGGGUGGCUG